CACCCCUGGACACCAAACCUGGAUUCGCCAUUUGCCACUUUAAUCCUUACAAUGGCAAUGACAGCAUGGAUUCAGUAAAUUAUUAUAAGAGGUCACCAAUGUACAUAAGAUACUUGGCAACAGUGGCUGUCCACUAAAUUGUGGCUAUGACAACCAUCAGCACAAAGCAGCCUUCAGCAUACACUGUAAGACUAGUUCCCUGGGAGGACUGAGAUCAACUUUCCACCACAGGAAAGGACCGGCGCCAAGGCAACACUUGCACGGCCACAGGGGCUCUGUCACAAUGCAGCUAGGAAAGUAACCAGACAGCAGAGGUGCGGCCUAGGGGCCAGGGAGCUAGAGUCACGAGCAAGGGGACCUGGUGUUUUGUGGCUCUCAGAAACAACUGGCACCACAGAGAAGGAAAGAGAGAAGACACACAGCAGGAGAAAUCAAGUAAUAACCAAUAGCCAGACGAUGAUCACAAAAAUUCACCCCACUGGCUGGGGGCGGUGGCUCAUGCGUGUCAUCCCAGCACUUUGGGAAGUCGAGACCAAUUUUUGACAGAUCCAGGACAACAUCACAAAGAGCCUAAUGAGGUUAUCAUGAAAAUAUCCUCACUGCGUUGCUGAGAAUAGUGAAAACUGAGAAACGACUUACGUGUCCAAAGAAGUGUGGCUAGUUAAGAAACAUCUGUGUACUCGAGACGAUACAGACAGAAUUUGGUGAAGAUGCUCUACUUAUUAUACUGCUAGGUGUGAAACGCAGGGCGUAAGGCUUAUGAAUACUUUUAUACAAAGGAGCCUCUCUGUUCUAAGGUGUGCACGGGAGCAAGUAAAGAACAUCUGUAAUGACAGACACAAGAAUUAAAAUAUCGCGUCUUGAAA